rnacentral:rRNA from 1 species
UACGUAGGCAGCGAGCGUUGUUCGGAGUUACUGGGCGUAAAGCGUGCGCAGGCGGUUUGCUAAGAGAGAUGUGAAAUCCCCGGGCUUAACCUGGGAACUGCGUUUCUAACUGGCAGGCUUGAGUGUGGCAGAGGGGGGUGGAAUUCCACGUGUAGCAGUGAAAUGCGUAGAGAUGUGGAGGAACACCGAUGGCGAAGGCAGCCCCCUGGGCUAACACUGACGCUCAUGCACGAAAGCGUGGGGAGCAAACAGG